AAGAUUAAGGACGUGUCUCCUCAGCGUCGUCUGAAGUCCACAGGUCACCCGGCAGCGCUUAACAAGAGCUCGCUCCGGCGACAGCAGGUAUUCACACGCGCCGCCGCCGACCUGAACGCAUCCAGAGGGAACGUCCUCCGAGAACCACAAGACCCUCAGCGCUCGUCUGGAGUGGCGCUGAUCCCUCCGGUGGCGUGCUGCUGUCAGUAACAAGGAUUCAUCCUGUUGUGAUGCUGCAGACGGACAGGAAGUCAUUGUUACUGGGAGUGUCCGUCACAUGACGUGAAGAGAUCCAAAGAUCAGGUUUAUUUCAUCCUGCAGGAGUCAGACCAUUCAUCUGAGGAUUUGUUUGUGUCCGUCGCUGCAUUCAUGAGGAGAUUCAUGUCAUUCUGUUUUUAAGAGAAUAAAAGCCCCAAAAUCAA